rnacentral:rRNA from 1 species
AGCUCCACUAGCGUAUGCUAAAGUUGCUGCAGUUAAAAAGCUCGUAGUUGAACCUUGGGCUGUGGGGGGGUGGUGUAGCGAACGCUAUUACUGCGCUCUCUGGCCUCUUUGGGGACGAUGCACCUCGCGUGCAUUCACCCCGUGUUACUGUGAAGAAAUUAGAGUGUUUAAAGCAGGCGAUCGCUUGAAUACAUCAGCAUGGAAUAACAGGAUAGGACUCUGUCGAUCUUGUUGGUUUGGGGAUAGGAGUAAUGAUUGAUAGGAACAGUUGGGGGCAUUAGUAUUUAGCAGUCAGAGGUGAAAUUCUUGGAUUUGCUAAAGACUAACUAGUGCGAAAGCAUUUGCCAAGGAUGUUUUCA